CAGCUCCCAAACCCCAUCCUCUACCCUGGCCUUUAGGUCCUUGGGCCUCAGUGGGCAGCUGCAGAGGAGCCAGGAUCGCAGCGAAUGCUUUUGCUGCACAGAUCGUACCAAGUGUGAGCUAGAGACAGCUUUAAACAUGAUUUGGCACAGGACAAGGCAAGGCAGCAGGCAGGUAUAAUGCUCUGACUGCUGUGGGUAAACUACUUGUAACAACGGAACUUCUUCAGCCGUGCUCAGGUAUCUCCACAAGAAGCUACCUUACUUCAAGCUAGCGCCAAUAUUGGCAAUAGGGACAUAGCCUGAGACUUAAAGGAGACCGAGCAGAUUACAAAAAUAUAAAUAUGGGGCCCCUCAGGCAUCUGUGAAAUGUUUACUUCUAAGAGCAGGGGCUAGGCCAUUCUUCGUGUUGCAGAAAAGAGUAAAUUGCUCUGCCUUAGGCCAGGCAGGAGGAAGCUUCAUUCCAAGAGAGAAUACUUCCCGCCUCCAAAUUCUUUCAUCUUUCUCUGCCUGCCUCUUUCUGGCCCAUUUCUGAUUUUCUUCUUCUUUCCAGAUGCUGUGGGAAGCUCCAAGGAUUCAAGGAUUCUGCCCUAAUUCACCCUCAGGGAAAGAAACAAGAUACAUAGCCAAGCUGGGGAGGAAAAUGCAAUCAAAGUAAGUCAUAUGGCCUAGAGAUAAGGAGGUGAGUGAAUCAGCCAUUAUGUGACAAGGUAGCACUGGGAAAGUGGGGCUUACCCAUUCAUAAAAGCCUGCCUUGGAGACAGAGCCAAGAAGCAGCAGCUGGUCCAGCGCACACUAAUGCUUUACCUGGGAACAGGGAACUUGUGCAACCCUCUGUGCAGAAGGCUGCAGGUCCAGAUUGCAAUGUACACAUGAAUCGUAACCACAGAAAUAUAUGAAGGACCCAGCUUGUGCUACCACUCACUGAUACGAUACUCCCUGAGUUAACAGCUGGGCUGACAUUAAUUAGAAACCCUUUUCCCCUCUUCUAAUCUCUGAUAGGUCAUAUAAUCCAUGCCAAAUGAAUCGCAGGGUUUUUCAGCAAAACAGAUUGUCAAAAGCUCUUUCAUCUACUGGAGAAGUUUGAAUAAUUGGACAUUUCUGCUGGAAAACUAAUCUCUGUUCUAACAGACGUCACAUAGCUGAGACUUUCCUCAAUGUUCAUUUCUGUCCAGACAACUGAGCACCAUGCUGCAUUCUCCACAAACAAAAUGUCCAUCCAAGAAAAAGAGGUUACUGCACUCGGUACAGUACUCAAAAUGUUGAUAUGCCACCAACUAUGCAUGACAAAUGCUGGAGAGGAACAAAGUCUACAGGAAGAGAAGAGCGUGUGUGCUCUGGAGAGGCAGAAGGGGCCCACCCCGCAAUGUUCAAGCUCAGCUCCAAAUUUUCUCAGCAUUACUGCCUUUUUGGAUGGGAGUUUGGGUCUGUGUGCGUUUCUGUGGUGGAGGAUAGGAAGACAGGAGGGAGCCUUUUCUUCUUUCCCAAACAACAUCUCAGCCUGUCUCAGGCUUAUUCACCAACAUCUAACAAGCGAAGACAAACAACAUCACACAGAGCUCCACAAUGCUUAAGCUUGAUCGAAUGACGACAAUUCCAUGUUGAAAAAAAUGAACAUCAGAGCCUUCCACAGCUGCAUCAACACUAUCUAUAAAAAAAGCAUGACACUACAUGAAGCUUUGGCUGUACAAGCCAAGAACCUAAAUCAGCCAUGGCUUGGAAGGAGGCCAUUGCUGAAUUCUCGUGUAAAGCGAUGCUGCCAUAUUGCUUACUUUCCACUGAGGUUUUCCACAAAUUAACAGCUGUAGCAGACUCCCAGAAAACAGCAACUCUUUCCAAGUCUUUCUUCUCUGAAAAUGUUUCUUCACUUUAUUCUUCCCCAUACGGAAGGGGGGAGAGGAAGGUAAAAAAACCUGAAUGGUCCUACGAAACGACCUACCCCCCAGAAAACAACAGACUGAGAAAAAUGGAUCACAAAGAUUGCCUGGAAAGAGAGCAGUUAUCUGUAAAAUUAAACCAGUGGUGGGCCCAAUUUUUAUUUUCAUUACACCAGCACGGUGGGAUGGAGAAUUAAACCCAGGGAAAAUAUUUCUGGAGUAGCCCUUCUGAUUUAUGACCAUCUCAGCCACUCUGACAAGAUCAGAGAAGUGCUGGAUUCUUUCCAGUUGAGCGCCACCAAAGGCCAAAUUAUUCCUAUUUAGGGAAAAACAAAACUUCCCUCUGCUUCAGUGAGAAUAGUGUUUGGCACCGAGCACAGAGAAAACUGCCUCGUUUCAGCUGGCUUGCUGAAAUGCAGCUGAGAUGGAAAGGUGAUACCAGGCUGCUGUGGGUGGCUUCAGAUCAUGCUCUUUCCUCCUGAUUUCAUCUUGGACAUCAGUAGGUACCGCAGAGGGUGAUGCAGAGGGAUUCAUUAUAAAUGACAAAAAGCCCCUCCUAAAGCAAAAGUUAUUUGAUUUUCAGCAUGCACAGAUGGCUGUUGACUCACUUGAGAGUGGUGCAAUGGAACUAGCAGACUGGCAGGACCGUGGGGACUCUCAGCAUUAAAAAACACUGAUUCACAAAGUGGAUCACUUUCUGAAGUUUAGCCGUUCAGCACCAACAGGGUACUGGCAGGCGUGGAAACAGGAGCAGAUACAAGUAGAAAUGUGCCACUGCUGUUCUUAAAAGGCAAAGCACAAGAAAUGACCUGACUCUGCAUGAGCACCCUGUGAUGAACUCACCUUUCCCUCCAGGUCCUUUCAUCUUCAGGCACACAGAGCAGCCCUGAAUUUAUCUCUAAUCUUGCUCCAUCCUGCCAUUGAACCAGCCUUCAUCCCCCACAAAGCCCAGCCACUUCAUCUCCCCUCAUCAUCAGCACUUCCCUGAAUAUCUAUAAUCUCCUCCAUUUUCCUUCUCAAGUCCUUAUGAAUUCAUUUAGCACCUUUGCUGCUUUGCCUUGUUAAUAAUUGUUCCUCUCCACUUCCUCCAUUUUCUCCAAGCAGGAGGAGGGAAAGUGCCCCUUUCCAACAGUGCGCCUCAUCAGUGGGCAAGUGUCAAGGUCCUGCCAAUACCAUGACCCCUCCCUCUGCCUCCCACUACCAGCCACCAGGCAAGGGGACACUUAAUAAGACACCCUCACAGUGGAAACCAGCUCCUUGAGCAGGACCAUAGUUUUUCCCAGUUCCUACAAUCUGCAGAAGAGUACGCCCCAGGUUUUUUCCCCACCUGCCCAGUGUGGUAAGACUGAAGAUCCAUUUAGGAUCGAUGACAGUAGAUUAACAGUGCUAAAAUGGAAGUAUACAGAUGGUUUUGCCACUUGUGCCUGAAUACAACAGAGACGCCAACAAGGCUAGACAUGGCUUGGCUAAGGAUCAAACCAAAGAUAUCAGAACUUUUCAAGUGCCUUGAAUGUUUUAAGGUGCAUCCAUCACUAACUGAAGGCAGGACUGGUUUAUUUCUUGAGAUAUAUUGGAAGCAGUUUGCAAAAGUGAGCAUGAAAACUGAAAACACCAUGGAAAUGUGCUCCGAAUGGCUGCACUAUCCUGGCUAUGAAGGAAAUUCAGAACAAGGGAGUGGAAAAUGUACAUAUAUAUGUAUAUGUAAAAACAAAAACAAAAUUAAACAUUCAGUCCAGACCAGGUUGCCUGUUUCCAGCCCAGUGUGAUGCUCCAAAAUGCCCCAUUUUGGGAUAUCUGAAAUGACAGGCUCUUUGUACUUUCGUAUUUCUGGUCCACAGAGUCUCUCUCUCUAACAUUUCUGCUAUGUGUUCUAUGUUUUUGCAUAUGAUAACCAUUUUCAAAGCUGAGUCGCAUGUUCAGCACAUCCUCCCGUAGUCGUUUCACUAUGCAAAUUGCCUGUGCUCCUCUCUUCUAGGUACUUCAUUUGAAACAUCUCCCUGCCUGUUUAUUUGGUCGGGGGCCUUGGCACAGCUUGUCUCCCAGCUCCCAUAGCACGGCUGAACGCCAGCCCAUCUACUGAGCAGGCUGCUCACAUGGAGAAAUGCCUCAACAUUUUGAGAUGGAGCCUUGUCAGGUUGCCAAAUAAAAGAAGCCCUACGUUCACUUCUCUCACUCGCAGGCUCACUGCUUAGUCAGCUGCUACGCCGCCGUGUAAAACCUUUGCUAAGAGAGCUGUGGCAGAAAAUAGCUGAUCAGUAAGUCUGAAGUGCCAGAGCUGUCUGGGUAGGUGGAGGCACUAGCAGGAAAGCAGGUAACCCAGUCUGUAAGCUUAGAGGUGAGGGUGAGGAAACCAUUUCCAUUCAGCAGAGAUUGCAGGGCAACACUGACGGGAGGGCUUGGGCACAGCCAAAAGCCAUUUUGCCUCCCCCAGUUUAAUGAUUCCUGCUUACCGGAGCUUGGCACCCUGGGGAAGAAGCGUGGACCAGCCUACGCUGAACGCCGCUCCUUGCUCCUACCCCUGCAGCUAUGGGGGAAGGGAGGUAGAGGAUCUGUAAAUGUAUUCACACAAGUGUGCGCAAAAAACCCCACAUAAAUCACCCUGUGAGGCUUUUUUUUGACAGCCUGCUACCUGUAACACCGGCCACAAUUAGCGCACUAACUUAUUUACAUGUCGUAAAUCCACAGCUCAUAAAGGCCUGUUGUACUGACUUUUCACCGCAAACCUGUGAGCUUUGGUAAAUUCAUUACAUCAGACUCACCCCUUUCUUACAAAGGGUUUCAGCACCCAGCAGCAGCGUGGAGGUAAAUCACACGUGAGGGCUGCCUUCUCCUCCCAGAUUCCAAUCACAGCUCUAGCGUUCACCCCUUUGCAAGUCCAAAUCCUGAUUAGAUGUGGGAAUAGAUCUUCCACAUGGAUCUGAGCAGGGAAAAACAACACACCAAGGACUUGGAGUUAACUAACCCCCUCGGAGCCCCCACCGACACCCUCCAGCCUGGCAGUUGCUUCAAGGCAGCUUUCAGUUUUAAUCACAAAUUGUCUUCCUGACAGCCCAUAGUAAAAUUAAAACAAGCACCACAAGACAGAGGGGCCUGACUUUGGUUUACAAGUUUCAUGCAACGUCCUUUGGGGGUUCUAGUUCGAUUCCAGGAAAAGCAAAUCAGCAGCUCAGAUGAAGCGGAUGCACCCAGGAGCGCCCUGAGAUAGUGGUGCCACUGGCUCUUUGCGCCCUGCGGUAUGUGCAAGUGGUUACCACAUGUGUCAGUGCCUCUGGGGAGUACCACAGGUGGGUUACAUCUGGCUGCGUCCAUGAAAACUGCUACAGACAUCACUGCAUGUCAUACCUCCCUCCUCCUCGCUGACCAAUCCCAACGGGGAAGUAAAUCUACAAACAGUUUACACCAGACUCUGUCAUACCAGGUGAGCAUUAUGUGAGGGAAUCCGAAAGCAAAUUAUGUUUGGACUUGCAGUGUUCACAGAGCUUGACCAAAUCAUAAAUACACAGAUAUAUCAGUAUAUAGAUGUCAAGAGCAUGCAUUUGCUCCUUUAUGCACAGACACCGUGCUUGCAGCAUGGCACACCAAAGUCUCACUGCAGAUUAGGGAUGAGGGAUUAUUUUUCAGCUUCCCAAGUGGUAAACUAAGGGUUUACCCAUUCUUCCAUCCUUCCCUUAGAGGUCCUGUGAGGAUAAACUGAGUUAUUUGAACACUUUGAAGAAUGGAAAUGCUAAGAGCCAAAUGGGAGGGAGUGGUCCAGAGGAGUGAAGGAUCCGAGAGUACGUUCAGAGGAGGAAUUGUUCCAGCUAAUGCACAGAGAGCUCCCGAGCUCCCCAAAAAGCCGCUUCAGACAAUGCCUAACAGAAUGCACAUUUUGCAGAGACUCACGUGUUCCACUUUUCCUGGAAAAGCACAGAGCAGCGGUGGUUUCAGCAAUGAGUACACCACGUAUUGUGCACACUGCACAGGGCUCUGCCUGGGCUCUGACCGCUCAGAGCAUCACAUCACCUCCAACACUGGUCGAUUAACAGAAUUCAGGUCCCACCUUUCCCAUCCCUUUUCCUGCUCUGUUCCUGGUGGCUGCCAAGGGUGGAUGUUUCCACAUCCCUCUCCCCCAAAAUAAGGCAGGAGUGUUCUUCGUGUUUCAUGGGACUCACUGCACAUCACGAUUACCAUCUUUCAUCAACAGGGCAGAGACCAGUCAAACCCCAAUGACAACAUCACAUCAGCAGGCAAAACCCCCUAAGAAGCAUAGCAAUUGAUUUAUCUGGCCAGCAUCAUACUGCCAAAGGGGAUGAAGGAAGAAAAUGACCGAUGGACACCCACAGUGUCCACCAGGCUGAACAGUGUGUGGAGAUCAAAAUGCAGAGCACCAUCGAGCUCAGCACAGUAAGGCAGAGGGAGGCACGUGGCAGAGAGGAGUAAAAGAGGUGGAUUUUCACCCCAAAACCACUGCUGGCUGAAUGAAUGAAUGAAUGAUCCCCCAUCACACAUGGCCAUAAUAUCCACACAGCGAGAGGAGGGAAAAAUCUAUGUACUGCAGCAUGAAGAAAAUAACCUGAGGUUGAAACCAUGCUAUCUUUUAGACAAGAAAGAUGUUAAGAAAAAGCAGGAUUGAAUAGAAGAAGCAAAGAGGGUUGUUCUGGACACUCCAGCAAGCUUUCCAUCUCUUCUAUGGCAGGGGGGGCUAGAACUAAUGAUCUUAAGGUCCUUUGCAACCUUAACUAUUCUAUGAUUCUAUGAUUCUCUAGUGGAGAAGGGCAGCAAGGCUGCAGACUGGACUACCAGUAUAUUUGCAUUUUUAACUCUAAGUGAAGUUCCCACUCGCAUAAAACCAUAUCCUACAUGAAUACAUUGCACUUUCAAUGAAAUCGUGUCACUUUAAUUCUUUAUGUUUCGAUGAUGGAAUAUAAAUUACACUGUCCAAACCAUAAAGUCAUCACAAAAUGAAAUUCUGGGCUGAAGUGCUUUGCUCCAACCACAUAAAAAAGGAACAUUUCAAACAAAUAUAAUUUGGUCUGUAUACUUUUCUAAACAAAACUGCGUGGCAAUCAAUGCAAUCCUAUAAAGACCAUUUGUAUUAAUAAAAUGGUAUUUUUGCAAUAAAAAGGAUUUGUUGGUGAAGUGCUCAGCUGGGUUUAUUAGCGUCAUUAAGAAUCCUCCUGCAUUCCCUUAUUUUUCAGCAGCCAGUGAGGAGGUAUGCUCAGAAUUUCAUUAUUUGAAAAUGAGGCAAUAAAUAAA